ACGGAAGGCAGCAGUGGGGGAUAUUGCACAAUGGGGGAAACCCUGAUGCAGCGACGCCGCGUGAACGAUGAAGUAUUUCGGUAUGUAAAGUUCUAUCAGCAGGGAAGAAAAUGACGGUACCUGACUAAGAAGCUCCGGCUAAAUACGUGCCAGCAGCCGCGGUAAUACGUAUGGAGCAAGCGUUAUCCGGAUUUACUGGGUGUAAAGGGCGUGUAGGCGGAGCUGCAAGUCAGAUGUGAAAUCCCGGGGCUCAACCCCGGAACUGCAUUUGAAACUGUAGCCCUUGAGUAUCGGAGAGGCAAGCGGAAUUCCUAGUGUAGCGGUGAAAUGCGUAGAUAUUAGGAGGAACACCAGUGGCGAAGGCGGCUUGCUGGACGACAACUGACGCUGAGGCGCGAAAGCGUGGGGAGCAAACAGGAUUAGAUACCCUGGUA
rnacentral:rRNA from 1 species